AUUGAACGCUGGCGGCAGGCCUAACACAUUCAAGUCGAGCGGAGCGGCGGACGGGUGAGUAAUGCCUAGGAAUCUGCCUGGUAGUGGGGGAUAACGUCCGGAAACGUGCGCUAAUACCGCAUACUAUCAGAUGAGCCUAGGUCUGAUUAGCUAGUUGGUGGGUUAAAGGCCUACCAAGGCGACGAUCCGUAACUGGUCUGAGAGGAUGAUCAGUCACACUUGAACUGAGAAACGGUCCAGACUCCUACGGGAGGCAGCAGUGGGGAAUAUUGGACAAUGGGCGAAAGCCUGAUCCAGCCAUGCCGCGUGUGUGAAGAAGGUCUUCGGUUUGUAAAGCACUUUAAGUUGGGAGGCGUUACCAACAGAAUAAGCACCGGCUAACUUCGUGCCAGCCGCCGCGGUAAUUC
rnacentral:rRNA from 1 species